ACCCCGCCACCCAGGCACCCCGGACGAGGUGCGCCGUACCCGGUCAGCGACAAGACGGCGCGUG
rnacentral:ncRNA from 1 species